rnacentral:rRNA from 1 species
UACGUAGGGUCCAAGCGUUAAUCGGAAUUACUGGGCGUAAAGCGUGCGCAGGCGGCUUCGCAAGUCAGACGUGAAAUCCCCGGGCUUAACUUGGGAAUGGCGUUUGAAACUACGGAGCUGGAGUGUGGCAGAGGGAGGUAGAAUUCUACGUGUAGCGGUGAAAUGCGUAGAUAUGUGGAGGAAUACCGAUGGCGAAGGCAGCCUCCUGGGCCAACACUGACGCUCAUGCACGAAAGCGUGGGGAGCAAACAGG